rnacentral:rRNA from 1 species
CCUACGGGAGGGCAGCAGUGGGGAAUCUUGCGCAAUGGGCGAAAGCCUGACGCAGCAACGCCGCGUGCGGGAUGAAGGCCUUCGGGCUGUAAACCGCUUUCAGCAGGAACGAAAAUGACGGUACCUGCAGAAGAAGGAGCGGCCAACUACGUGCCAGCAGCCGCGGUGACACGUAGGCUCCAAGCGUUGUCCGGAUUUAUUGGGCGUAAAGAGCUCGUAGGCGGUCUAAUAAGUCGGGUGUGAAAACUCUGGGCUCAACCCGGAGACGCCAUCCGAUACUGUUAUGACUUGAGUUCAGGAGGGGAGCGGGGGAAUUCCUAGUGUAGCGGUGAAAUGCGCAGAUAUUAGGAGGAACACCGGUGGCGAAGGCGCCGCUCUGGACUGAAACUGACGCUGAGGAGCGAAAGCAUGGGUAGCAAACAGGAUUAGAUACCCUGGUAGUCCGUGCCGUAAACGGUGGGCACUAGGUGUGGGUUUACAACUAACGAAAUCCGNGCCGUGCUAACGCAUAAGUGCCCGCUGGGAGUCGGUCGCAAGACUAAAACUCAAACGAUUAGACGG